GGGGCUAUAUUGGUUUUGACAAUUAUAUGAAGUUUAUAGCUGCAAGCCGGAGGAACACGUUACGAACAAAAAACAAUAAAUGCAAACAAUUUAAAAACUGCAUUUGCUUCAUUAUUCAGAAGUAAUAGUGUAGCUUUAGCCUAGUUUAAGGUAAAUGCAACUUUCUUUUAUUCUUUUCCACGUGAAUAAAUAGAAGGGUCAUUUUUAGUGGAAUAUAUUAUUAUUUUGUCUAAGAAUAAUAACGAAUAUUAUUAGACUUACUAAUCCUUAUGAUUGUUAGUUAUUUAACGAUUAGGAAAAUCUUUAACUAACUAAGCUUGUAGACGCUAUCUAUGAAUUAUGAUUGGACAGGGGUUCAACUCCCCUUAGCUCCACCA
rnacentral:tmRNA from 1 species